rnacentral:lncRNA from 10 species
GUUCAAACCGUGUUCAAAUAAGGCAAACGCCAGCCUGUAACCAAUCCAGCUGCUCUGUACCUCACUUCCCAAUUUCUGUACGUUAUUUACCUUUUUUGUCUAUAAAUAUUCUUCCACCAUGUGGCUGCACUGGAGUCUCUGAAUCUGCUGUUUCUGGGGGCUGCCCAAUUUGUGAACUGUUCGUUGCUCAAUCUAGAAGAAAGGAUCUGAGUGACAGGCUUAGGUGCGUUGUCUGCGUCCCAGGAACAGAGCAAAGCACACUGGCUCAGGCAUGAGGAAGCCACACCCCAAUCCUGCCUUUCAGGUGCCAAUGGAGAACAACCCCUUCAGCGGAACCAUGGUGCUUUACAUCUCUCUCUGAACUCUCAGAUCUCCUAAGUGGAGAUGGCUGAUUAAGGCUCUUAUCUUUCACGUUCUAAAAUCAAUUUAGUGUUGUUCGGAGCCAGCAAUGUUAAAAUAUAUUUGUAUUUUGAAACAAAGUUAACAUAGAGAAAUGAAAAAUAAAAUGUUGAGAAUUUUACAUUUAAUUGCAGAUAUAAUUCUGUGUUCUGUAUGUUACUUAGUUUUCUAUCUUAAAUAGUUUGAAGGUAAACACUUCUUUUAC